CUGGUUUGGAAAACGUGGCAGGCCAUCUGCGACUCGGGAUCGUCGGGCUGCGCUUUGAUCAGAAACUGAUUCAUGGCCGCGAUGGCAGAAAUGGGCAGCAAGGGGGUGACGGCGGGGAAGAUCGCCAGCAAUGUGCAGAAGAAGCUGACCCGUGCGCAGGAGAAGGGGACAGUACAGCUGGAGGAUUUAAAGUCGUGCUGAGACCGGAGGCUACAAAUCCCGCGCCCUUAAAUCAACGAACAGACUCGUGGACCCAACACGAAAAGCUGAGUUGCUUUUGGGGACUGCGGAAACUGAGACCCAGAUCGAGACUCCAGGCGGCAGCCAGUUCUGCACCGCUGCACCAGAGCAGAUGUACAGAGCUCUGGCGUUUCGAAUCUAAACGGUGCACAGAAAUCUGACCAGUCAGCGCUGAGCCGCGAGGUGGGGAAAAGUGGACGGCUUGGUGUGUGGCGGUCCCGGAACGAGGACUUGCACCGGACUCUGGUCUGAUACCAAUGAAAUGUGGACUCUGGCAAUCCCAUUACUGCUUUCUGCUCAGCGAGAGACCUGAAUGAACACUUGGGCAAAGCGUGGUCCAGCAGUUCAGUGAUGCUCCAGGGCGCCCUUUCCUUCUGUGUCUCUACUCAGUCUUCUCCAGCAGCAGAAAUAAACAGUAUAUCAAGAAAGAAGCUAAGCCCUACCUAUGAGCCAGCAAGAGCAUGGACAGAGGAGAGCCAAGAUGGAAGCUAAGCCCCUGCCUGAGAAGCCCACGAGGGCUGUGGUCUGCAGGGGAGAACAGCCACUCCUUCCCCCAAACCCGUUGAUUUGGAGGAACUGAACUGUUUGACUGAUUUUGCAAGCCUAAAAUCGAGCAAUUAUCUAGAGGACAACAAUAUGCAAUAUAGUAACUAAUGUAGAUUUCUUACUGUCUUAUCACUGCUUCAACUCAUUUUAUGGUUUUAUUCCCUUUAAAAUUAAACUUUUAAAAGUAUGCCUCAA